UGAGCCUGUGGCUCGGUGGGGUGCUGCUCGGCUUUUUAAGCCCAGCGGUUCAGGCCCAGUCCUGGACGCUCGC
rnacentral:tRNA from 1 species